rnacentral:misc_RNA from 1 species
CAAAACUUCACAUUAUCAUAAAAGAUGAAGAUUAUGUCCAAAGAUUUAGCCUUUUUCAUUCAAUGACAAUCCAAUGAAUUCAACUUCAAUUUCAAGGUUACCAAGACAAUCACUAUAAAGCACAAACAACAACAUUAAUCACGACACUUCCUCAAGAUUAGAAUCAUCAAUUUAUUUUUCUGCCUUACACUUCAAUCAAAUAAUCUAGAAUAACUUCUCACAAUAAAACAAGACUAGCUAAAAUAGG